AAUCUAAAUAUACUUAAUAAAAAGAGCAAUUAUUUGGUUCAUACCCCGUAAAUAGGAUUUGCCUCCUUUUUA
rnacentral:tRNA from 1 species